CCAGCUGGUACCUCCGUCCUCGCUUCCGCUUCCGCUGUCGCAGAGCCACACGGGACGCGUAGUCCGUGGAAAGCAGAAACGGCGAAAACGUCCACAGCGUGACCAGGAAGUGAUUGUGACGAAAGGAAGCAGCCGAGCCAAUCAGCGAUCAGAUAGAAAGCAGGCCGGUGAGGAGGGCAGGAGAAGCCUGGGCCUUGCUUUCAGUCUUAAACUGGCGUUAGUUAAUCCUAACCCCCCACCUGGAGUAACGAGGAAACUAUUCCGGACACCAGGAAGGGGGAAGGAUGAGCCAUGCCGCUUGGCCAGCCUGCCAGCAGUUCAUGGAGCCUCGGUACCUGGGCCCCCUCUGCCCCACACAUUCCUGGGACACGCACAUCUCUGGUCUUAGCUCUGGUCAAAAGAAAAACCUUGGCUAUGAAGACCAGACACCCUCUCUCCUGCACCCUGGCACUCACCUCUUCCACGAUGGAUGACAAUAACCGAAGCUCCCCAUUUUCAUCACGCUGACUGAUCUUUGAUUGAAUAAAGUCUAUAACUUCCUG